rnacentral:lncRNA from 1 species
GGAAUUUCUUUUAUCGAUCAUGGGUUUCUCUCUGGAUCUACAAAAAUGCAUUUGUUCUGUCUCCGAUGAAUCAAGGUAUUCGACUAUGUCCUCUCGGAUGUGUCUGGGUGAUGAUGAUGCGCUGCUUAACGAAGGUGUGGAAACGCCUUAUGGUUCGACCCGACUUAUGAGUUACAUAUCUUGACUAACAAUAGCUUCCUGUUCUUGUCUUAUCUGUGUUAAGGUCGGAGAAGCUGAAUUCUCCGUGGGUUCUCGUUUGUUGCCAUGUCUGUCCCUCGGAAAAUCCUGACAUUCUUCCAUUCAGUUGGGAAACCUGUUUUAUGCAUCUUCUUAUUUCUUUCUCUCUCUCUGCUCGUGCUCAUGCUUUGCAACAUUUCAUCUAC